rnacentral:rRNA from 1 species
GAUGAACGCUGGCGGCGUGCCUAAUACAUGCAAGUCGAGCGAACAGACGAGGAUCUUGCUCCUCUGACGUUAGCGGCGGACGGGUGAGUAACACGUGGAUAACCUACCUAUAAGACUGGGAUAACUUCGGGAAACCGGAGCUAAUACCGGAUAAUAUAUUGAACCGCAUGGUUCAAUAGUGAAAGACGGUUUUGCUGUCACUUAUAGAUGGAUCCGCGCCGCAUUAGCUAGUUGGUAAGGUAACGGCUUACCAAGGCAACGAUGCGUAGCCGACCUGAGAGGGUGAUCGGCCACACUGGAACUGAGACACGGUCCAGACUCCUACGGGAGGCAGCAGUAGGGAAUCUUCCGCAAUGGGCGAAAGCUUGACGGAGCAACGCCGCGUGAGUGAUGAAGGUCUUCGGAUCGUAAAACUCUGUUAUUAGGGAAGAACAAAUGUGUAAGUAACUAUGCACGUCUUGACGGUACCUAAUCAGAAAGCCACGGCUAACUACGUG